rnacentral:lncRNA from 1 species
AUCCAUUUCUAUUCAAGUGGUGACAAUAAAGUCACAAUCAAACAUACACAUUAUUUCCAAUGUCAAUCACUGUGAAUAACCUAUCUACUGGGUUUAACCAUCUUAUUCCAAAAGCCUAUUCUAGGCGCCAAACAAAUAUCUAGGUCACUAACAAUUUAUAUGAUUCAAGCUUAAUGUUGUCACGUUCCGCUUCUAACAUCCCAAAAUAUCCA